UCCCUGGUGGUCCAGUGGUAAGACUCCACGCUCCCAAUGCAGGGGGCCUGGGUUCUAUUCCUGGUCAGGGAA
rnacentral:tRNA from 1 species